AUGGCCGUCAAGGGGGGUCCUGCGGACAACAGGACUAGAAGCACUGUGUCUAUAUGCAUAGUGAUUGGCUUGUGCUGCUUCUUCUACAUCCUCGGGGCGUGGCAGAAGAGUGGCUUCGGAAAGGGGGACAGCAUUGCCCUGGAGAUCACGAAGCGGACCGAUUGCACUAUCUUGCCGAACCUCAGCUUCGACACACACCAUUCUAAACAAGGCAGCUCCGGCGAUCUUGUUUCGCCGGUGAAGAAGUUUAAACCAUGCCCGGACCGCUUCACGGACUAUACACCUUGCCAAGAUCAAAAUAGAGCUAUGAAAUUUCCUCGGGAGAACAUGAAUUACAGAGAGCGGCAUUGCCCACCGCAGAAAGAAAAGCUGCACUGCCUCGUACCACCGCCUAAGGGAUAUGUUGCUCCAUUCCCAUGGCCCAAAAGUCGGGACUAUGUUCCUUUCGCGAAUUGCCCCUAUAAGAGCUUGACGGUCGAGAAAGCCAUACAGAACUGGGUGCAGUACGAGGGCAACGUCUUCAGAUUCCCCGGUGGAGGGACACAGUUCCCUCAAGGUGCUGAUAAGUACAUUGAUCAACUGGCAUCAGUUAUACCGAUUGCCAACGGGACCGUCAGGACUGCAUUGGACACUGGUUGCGGGGUGGCUAGCUGGGGAGCUUACUUGUUAAAGAGGAAUGUUUUAGCCAUGUCGUUUGCACCCAGAGAUUCACACGAAGCCCAAGUACAGUUUGCUCUGGAGAGAGGUGUCCCAGCUGUUAUUGGUGUUCUUGGCACAAUUAAACUCCCUUAUCCAGCAAGAGCCUUUGAUAUGGCCCAUUGUUCUAGGUGCUUGAUUCCAUGGGGAAUGAAUGAUGGACUCUAUAUGAUGGAAGUUGAUAGGGUUCUAAGACCUGGUGGAUACUGGGUGCUGUCAGGUCCUCCAAUUAACUGGAAGGCGAACUACAAGGGUUGGCAACGUACAAAGGAGGAUCUUGAGGCAGAGCAGAACAAGAUAGAGGAAAUGGCUGAGCUUCUAUGUUGGGAGAAAGUCUCGGAGAAGGGUGAGACGGCAAUAUGGAGGAAAAGAGUAAAUACCGAGUCCUGUCCUUCUAGGCUAGAAGAAUCCACUGUGCAGAUGUGUGAAUCAACAAAUGCAGAUGAUGUCUGGUACAAGAAGAUGAAGGCAUGUGUUACACCUCUUCCUGAUGUAGAAAAUCCAAGUGAAGUUGCCGGAGGAGCAAUCAAGCCCUUCCCAAGCAGGCUCAACGCAAUUCCUCCAAGAAUUUCUAAUGGGUUAAUUCCAGGGGUUUCAUCUCAAGCAUAUGAGAAAGACAACAAAAUGUGGAAGAAGCAUGUGAAGGCUUAUAGCAAUGUGAACAAGUAUCUACUUACUGGUAGGUACAGAAACAUCAUGGACAUGAAUGCAGGUUUUGGGGGUUUUGCUGCGGCGAUCGAGUCCCCAAAAUCUUGGGUGAUGAAUGUGGUGCCAACCAUAGCAAAGAUUGCAACCCUGGGGGCUGUUUAUGAGAGAGGAUUGAUUGGCAUUUACCAUGACUGGUGUGAAGCGUUCUCUACUUAUCCAAGGACCUAUGAUCUUAUCCAUGCUAGUGGCCUUUUCACCUUGUAUAACAAUAAGUGCAGCAUGGAAGACAUCCUCCUUGAGAUGGACCGCAUCUUGAGGCCUGAAGGUGCUGUUAUAAUGCGUGACGAUGUCGAUGUCUUGACAAAGGUGAACAAACUCGCUCGGGGCAUGAGAUGGAACACGAAGCUAGUUGACCACGAGGACGGCCCCCUAGUGCGUGAGAAGGUCUUGUAUGCUGUGAAGCAGUAUUGGGUUGGCGGAAACCAGACGGCCGCAUCGUGA
rnacentral:rRNA from 1 species